rnacentral:rRNA from 1 species
GAUGAACGCUGGCGGCGUGCCUAAUACAUGCAAGUCGAGCGAACAGACGAGGAGCUUGCUUCUAUGACGUUAGCGGCGGACGGGUGAGUCACACGUGGUUAACCUACCUAUAAGACUGGGAUACUUUUGGGAAACCGGAGCUAAUACCGGAUAAUAUAUUGAACUGCAUGGUUCAAUAGUGAAAGACGGUUUUGCUUUCACUUAUAGAUGGAUCAGCGCCGCAUUAGCUAGUUGGUAAGGUAACGGCUUACCAAGGCAACGAUGCGUAGCCGACCUGAGGGGGAGAUCGGCUACCCUGGAAGUGAGGAUGAGUCCAGACUCCUGCGGGGGGAAGCGGUAGGGAAUCCUACGCGAGGGAGGAAAGCCUGACAGUGCAACACCGCGUGAGUGAUGAUGGUGUUCGGAUCGUAAAGCUCUGUUAUUAGUGAAGAACAAAAGUGUAAGUAACUAUGCACAUCUUGACGGUACCUAGUCAGUAAGCCACGGCUAACUACGUG